rnacentral:lncRNA from 1 species
AAAAUCAUAGCCCAAAAUCCAUGUUCCAUAAUAUAGAAAAAAACCAAUCAAAUACAAAUGCUCAGCUUAUGGGUGGGUAAAUUCUGAUUCGAUAAGUUCAUUUUUCGGGAUCUAGAUGGGUAGAUAGCCACCCUCGCCAUGCCAUAGAUAUGCCCCUACUCCUAGACAUUAGCUGCCUCCGUCAUUGCCUUUGUUAGUCCACUCCAAUAUCUCAAUAGUACCGAGAAUGAUAUAAUAACACAGUAACAUGUAAUUAUUGUUAGCCUUAUAAGGUUAUACAAUUAAAACACAAACGAAUAAGUGACUGACCUGAUUCCAAUGGUAGUUAUCGAAGAUGCAGCAGCCAUGCAAGCAAGACGUGAUCGAUAAAACUCCAAACUUUAUGUUUGCCAUGACAAACAGAAACGCCAACUCUUUUGUAAACUCUUAACUUUAUGACAAUGCUCUAUGAGAAGCCUUAGUUGUUGUGUUUAGGGUUAGCAGGGACCGGUGUUUAUAUACUAGCCAAAAAGUCUUAGAUUUCGUCCAUAAGGGAAAACUAAAACUCUUAUUUCUUGGCUCUCAAGUAAAAUAUCAUAAUCAUAUAUUAUUAAGGAUUCCAUCAAUCCUAUUUCCAAUAUAAGACACCUUAUAUAGAAUUAAUAUCUUUAAGAGAUUAAAUCACAAUCAACAUUAUUCUCCAAUAUUACAUUCCUAUUACAUGUAGUAGACCACUUAAAGUUGAUUUAUAUUGGAUAAAUCCAACAAUUAGUUGUAUUGAGUACAACAAAUUGUUAAGGAAACACUUUAUAAGUAGGACAAUACUUAGGUACUAAACAGUCAGUACCUAAUUUCACUGACCAUCUAUGUGGCCCAAUAAGUUUGAACCAGCUGUCAAUCCAAUGACCUUGCCAUCUUCCUCCUCUCCAACAAGUCUGCAAGAUCUUCACAGCCGGCCACUGUGAACUCCUCGACUCCGCCAUUUCAAGACUUCACCAAUCUUAUCCUCCACAGCCACGCCGAGCUCAAUGAUCGGCCAUUCGUAAUCCUUGUCCUCGCAAGUUGGUGGCAUCCACGUCAUACCCGCAUAGCUGCGUCACCGUCAAUCUCAUUGCAGCAGUGGAAUCAACGGUUGGAUGGGAUUGGGACCGGGGGGGGGGGGGAGAAGAUGGAGGAAAGAAGAUGGGCUGAAGAAGAAACCAUAGCCAUGGCAUGGGGAUUAGUAGACAUUGAAGAAGAAGAGUUCUGUUUGGUAUUGGGUUUAAAAGGGUUGGUUUGCGUUUGGUUACGAGGAUAGCAAAAGUUGAAAUUGACAUAUUUCUUAAAUUUAUUGGGCCACGUAGAUGGUUAGUGAAAUUGGGUACUGAUUGUUCAGUACCUAAGUAUUAUCCUUAUAAAUAAGUGAAAAGCAAGCAUGCAUCAUAGGUUGCAACUUCAUUCAAAUCUCUCCACGGUCAGCUUGUAAAUCAAUACAAAUGCUAUGACUUAUGCAGCACGCAAGAUGGAUGAGGCGAAAUUAGAGCAUGCUCAUAAUGUGUUAGCUAGCUAGCUGGGCGAUCAUUGUGGGAUCUCUUUUUUUUUUUUUCCUUCUCUCUCUUGUUAAUUCAUUUUGGAUUCUUUUUCUAUUAUCUCUCGUCUCUUCACACUCUUUUCCAACCUUUUCAUUGGUAAAUUAUAAGUCGUUGCAAG